rnacentral:rRNA from 1 species
UGCCAGCAGCCGCGGUAAUACGGGGGGGGCUAGCGUUGUCCGGAAUUACUGGGCGUAAAGGGCGCGUAGGCGGGAUAGCAAGUCAGUGGUGCAAACUUGAGGCUUAACUUCAAGCUUGCCAUUGAUACUGUUAUUCUUGAGUUCGGCAGAGGGAAGUGGAAUUCCUGGUGUAGCGGUGAAAUGCGUAGAUAUCAGGAAGAACACCGGUGGCGAAGGCGGCUUCCUGGUCCGAUACUGACGCUGAGGCGCGAAAGCGUGGGGAGCGAACAGGAUUAGAUACCCUGGUAGUCCACGCUGUAAACGAUGGGUACUAGGUGUUGGUUGUAAUGAUCAGCGCCGGAGCAAACGCAUUAAGUACCCCGCCUGGGGAAUACGGUCGCAAGACUGAAACUCAAAGGAAUUGACGGGGGCCCGCACAAGCGGUGGAGCAUGUGGUUUAAUUCGAUGCAACGCGAAGAACCUUACCUGGGCUUGAACUGCAGGUGCUAUCUCCUGAAAGGGAGUUUCCUUCGGGACGCCUGUAGAGGUGCUGCAUGGCUGUCGUCAGCUCGUGCUGUGAGGUGUUGGGUUAAGUCCCGCAACGAGCGCAACCUCUGUCCCUAGUUGCCAUCAGGUCAAGCUGGGAACUCUAGGGGGACUGCCCCGGAUAACGGGGAGGAAGGUGGGGAUGACGUCAAGUCAUCAUGGCCCUUACGUCCAGGGCUACACACGUGCUACAAUGGCCGGUACAACGGGUAGCGAGACAGCGAUGUGGAGCAAAUCCCUUAAAACCGGUCUCAGUUCAGACUGCAGUCUGCAACCCGACUGCAUGAAGUUG